UGGGGGGUAGCUUAGUGGUAGAGCUUGUGCCUAGCAUACAUAGGCCCAGGGUUCAAUCCCCAGCCCUCUCC
rnacentral:tRNA from 1 species